rnacentral:lncRNA from 1 species
GCACCACCACACCCAGCCUUAGUGUUGGAUUUGAACAAGUAAAAAUGGAACUCAAAAGACAUGAUGCUUGAAAGUAAUGGUCCAGUAUUUGAAUGAGACCAAUUAAAUCUUCAUUCUACAGACACUCAGGAACUGUGCACUCUUCUCAAAUCACCCACAUUCUGUGCCUCUGAUAGUGAAGAUAAUGCUCCAUCUUAAAUGAAUUAAGAAGCCAGGGAAGUAGUGACAUCAACUUCUCCUGGGACUAACCUCAAACACGAUAAUGAAGGCCAAUCGAGCAGCCAGGAUGUGCCAGUACUGUAAGGUGAAUUCAUAGGGUUUGGAACUCCAAGGUGGGCCUCUAUAGUCUCGGUACCUGCAAUCCACCAAAACAGACAGCAUGAAGGGAGCAGAGCAUUCUUGAUUUACCCAGCCCCCCAGAAUGUUAAAUGCUUUUAUACAUGUAGAGAGGACGAGAUGAGGUGGCCAAAGCAAGCAGGGAAGAUAAAUACAUUGUAGGUAAGUACCUGCAGUAACCAGAUUUUCCCAUACCAAGUUCACUCAGGUCAAAGAAGGAUAAGCUAUUGUUGACAUAGCCCUUUAGGCAACUAGGAGAAAAUAACAGGAUUGCAUGAGUCAUAAAUUAAUACAUUUCUGAAAUACCUUCUUCUUU